AACCAGCUCUUCGAGUGGUAGGGAUGAUUAUUUGGCCUAAAGCAUCCGUAGCCGGACUCGUAAGUCCACUGUUAAAGGUCAGGUCUUAAAUCUGUACAUUGCCGUGGAUACUGCGUGUCUAGGGACCGGGAGAGGUGAAAGGUACUCCAGGGGUAGAGGUGAAAUUCGUUCAUCCUUGGGGGACCACCUAUGGCGAAGGCAUUUCACUGGAACGGGUCCGACGGUGAGGGAUGAAAGCCAGGGGAGCGAGCCGGAUUAGAUACCCUCGUA
rnacentral:rRNA from 1 species